rnacentral:rRNA from 1 species
AACGAACGCUGGCGGCGUGCUUAACACAUGCAAGUCGAACGCGAAAGGGACUUCGGUCCUGAGUAAAGUGGCGCACGGGUGAGUAACGCGUGGAUAAUCUACCCGAUGGACCGGGAUAACAUUUCGAAAGGGGUGCUAAUACCGGAUAAGACCACGGCUUCUUAGGGGGCUGCGGUAAAAGGUGGGGACCUUCGGGCCUACCGUCAUCGGAUGAGUCCGCGUACCAUUAGCUAGUUGGUAGGGUAAGGGCCUACCAAGGCGACGAUGGUUAGCUGGUCUGAGAGGAUGAUCAGCCACACUGGAAUUGAGACACGGUCCAGACUCCUACGGGAGGCAGCAGUGGGGAAUUUUGCGCAAUGGGGGAAACCCUGACGCAGCAACGCCGCGUGAGUGAUGAAGGCCUUCGGUCGUAAAGCUCUGUCAGAGGGAAGAAGUGCAGGGGUGCGUAAUAUCACCUUUGUUUGACGGUACCCUCAAAGGAAGCACCGGCUAACUCCGUGCCAGCAGCCGCGGUAACUGUAGUCGUC